UUUUUUUUUUUUUAUAAGAAAAGACCCGAGUCGUGGUCAAGCUUAGGCUUGGUGUCCAAUUUAUUAUAUAUUUUUUCCAAAAGAAUUCAUUUUAAAAUUAUUUUAAUAUGGCUUAAAAAACCAUUAAAACAACUUUUAACAACGGAUCUCUUGGUUCUCGCAUCGAUGAAGAACGUAGCAAAGUGCGAUAACUAGUGUGAAUUGCAUAUUCAGUGAAUCAUCGAGUCUUUGAACGCAACUUGCGGUCGAUGGUAUUCCAUCGACCACGCCUGUUUCAGUAUCAAAAAAACCUCAACAAUUUUAAUUGUGUUUUUGGGAGAACUUAACUUUUUUGUUUAGGCUCUCCUUAAUAGUAUUUGGCUCAUGUGGAUUUAUUAUCUGCCUGUUGAAAGCUCUUUUUUAUUUUUUAUUAUUAAAAAGAAAAAAAGAGCAUUUAUAUUUCGCAAGCAACUUUAUAUGAUGAUAAGUAAAUGGAGGCCCCCCUAAAUAAUA
rnacentral:misc_RNA from 1 species